rnacentral:tRNA from 1 species
CCGUCUCGUGGGCCAGCGGCAGCAGGCCCAUGCGCAGGGCCUCCUGCCGGGCCUGUUCGAUCCGGGUGGGGUGGCC